rnacentral:rRNA from 1 species
UACGGAGGGAGCUAGCGUUAUUCGGAAUUACCGGGCGUAAAGCGCACGUAGGCGGCUUUGUAAGUUAGAGGUGAAAGCCUGGAGCUCAACUCCAGAACUGCCUUUAAGACUGCAUCGCUUGAAUCCAGGAGAGGUGAGUGGAAUUCCGAGUGUAGAGGUGAAAUUCGUAGAUAUUCGGAAGAACACCAGUGGCGAAGGCGGCUCACUGGACUGGUAUUGACGCUGAGGUGCGAAAGCGUGGGGAGCAAACAGG